rnacentral:rRNA from 1 species
CUCUUUCUCGAUUCAGUGGAUGGUGGUGCAUGGCCGUUCUUAGUUGGUGGAGUGAUCUGUCUGGUUAAUUCCGAUAACGAACGAGACUCUCCCCUGCUAACUAGUCGGUUGGAUCUUGAUCAGCGGGUUGCGUGCUGAGUAACUCUCGCUGCGUGUGAUGUGCGUUUCGUGCUUAACGGUGCGUUGCGUCUUGCGCGUAGUGUUGGAUGCCUUGGAUCACACUGCACCCCAAGUCCGCCGCUUAUGCUAUAACUCUUCUUAGAGGGAUUCACGGCACUGAAGCCGUAAGAGACUGAGAGCAAUAACAGGUCUGUGAUGCCCUUAGAUGCUCUGGGCCGCACGCGCGCUACAAUGCCGGGCACAGCAGGUGUUUCUCCUGCUCCGACAGGAGCGGGUAACCCUCUGAAAGCCAGUGUUCUUGCAAGUACUUCCUCCCUCGUGGAGUUGUACAGAGGCGUGCUUGGGCCUGGGACUUGCAAUUCUUUCCCACCAACGAGGAAUGCCUAGUAGCGGCGGGUCACUGAGCCCGCUGUGACUCAGUCCCUGCCCUUUGUACACACCGCCCGUCGCUACUACCGAUUGGGUGUACCAGUGAGAGCCUUGGACUGGCGUCCGUUGUUAUUCGCAAGAGUGACAAGCGGGUCCGACGGAAAGAGGUCCGAACUGGUGCACUUAGAGGAAGUAAAAGUCGUAACAAGGUUUCCGUAGGUGAACCUGCGGAAGGAUCA